GAUCUCAAAUCAGGUAGGACUACCCGCUGAACUUAAGCAUAUCAAUAAGCGGAGGAAAAGAAACUAACAAGGAUUCCCCUAGUAACUGCGAGUGAAGCGGGAAAGAGCUCAAAUUUAAAAAUCUGGCGUGCCUCUGGUCGUCCGAGUUGUAGUCUGGAGAAGNGUUUUCCGUGCUGGACCGUGUACAAGUCUCCUGGA
rnacentral:rRNA from 1 species